AACGAACGCUGGCGGCGUGGAUAAGACAUGCAAGUCGAACGGGAACUUCAGCUGUAGCAAUACAGUUGAAGUUUUAGUGGCGAACGGGUGCGUAACACGUGGGCAAUCUGCCGAGAAGUGGGGGAUAGCUCGCCGAAAGGCGAAUUAAUACCGCAUAUGAUCAGCUAAGACAUCUUAGCGACAUCAAAGCCGGGGCAACCUGGCGCUUUUUGAGGAGCCCGCGGCCUAUCAGCUAGUUGGUGAGGUAACGGCUCACCAAGGCUAUGACGGGUAGCUGGUCUGAGAGGACGACCAGUCACACUGGAACUGAGACACGGUCCAGACACCUACGGGUGCAGCAGUCGAGAAUUUUUCUCAAUGGGGGCAACCCUGAAGGAGCGACGCCGCGUGGAGGAUGAAGGC
rnacentral:rRNA from 1 species